GUGGGGAAUAUUGGACAAUGGGCGAAAGCCUGAUCCAGCCAUGCCGCGUGUGUGAAGAAGGUCUUCGGAUUGUAAAGCACUUUAAGUUGGGAGGAAGGGCAGUAAGUUAAUACCUUGCUGUUUUGACGUUACCGACAGAAUAAGCACCGGCUAACUUCGUGCCAGCAGCCGCGGUAAUACGAAGGGUGCAAGCGUUAAUCGGAAUUACUGGGCGUAAAGCGCGCGUAGGUGGUUUUGUAAGUUGGAGGUGAAAUCCCCGGGCUCAACCUGGGAACUGCCUCCAAAACUGCAUGACUAGAGUACGGUAGAGGGUAGUGGAAUUUCCUGUGUAGCGGUGAAAUGCGUAGAUAUAGGAAGGAACACCAGUGGCGAAGGCGACUACCUGGACUGAUACUGACACUGAGGUGCGAAAGCGUGGGGAGCAAACAGGAUUAGAAACCCCAGAAGUCC
rnacentral:rRNA from 1 species